rnacentral:rRNA from 1 species
UACGAAGGGUGCAAGCGUUACUCGGAAUUACUGGGCGUAAAGCGUGCGUAGGCGGUUUGUUAAGUCUGAUGUGAAAGCCCUGGGCUCAACCUGGGAACUGCAUUGGAAACUGGCUGACUAGAGUGCGGUAGAGGGGUGUGGAAUUCCCGGUGUAGCAGUGAAAUGCGUAGAUAUCGGGAGGAACAUCUGUGGCGAAGGCGACACCCUGGACCAGCACUGACACUGAGGCACGAAAGCGUGGGGAGCAAACAGG